rnacentral:lncRNA from 1 species
CUAUUACGGGGGCUGAGUCACUGGCUUGCUGGUGUUCUUCCAUGCCGUCCCUGGGAGGGGUGCGUCACUUGAGUGGGUUGAGUCACUGACGUGGUCUUCCUGUCUGGGUUGGCGCCCCCCCUUGGGCUGUGCCGUGGUGGAGAUCUUUGUGGGCUAUACUCGGCCUUGUCCCGGGAUGGUAUGUUGGUGGUUGGAGAUAUCCCUCCAGUGGUGUGGAGGCUGUGCUUUGGCAAAGACCUGAGCCCUAGGACCAUGCCUCAGGACUACCUGGCUUGAUGACUCCUUGCUGUCCCCAGUUCACCUGGCCGUGCUCCAGUUCCAACUGUUCUGCCUGCAGCUAUGGAACCCUGACUUGUUCACCGGACGUGCCUCCUGUCCCAGACCUGCUGGAACACUGACCUAUUCACUGGACGUGCUACCUGUCCCAGACCUGCUGUUUUCAACUCUCUAGAGACAGCAGGAGCGGUAGAGAUACUCUCAAAGAUCGGCUAUGAAAAAGCCAACUGACACUUACUCUUGUGUUACUGACUUGUUGCACCCUCGACAACUACUAUGAUUAUUAUUAUUUGACCAUGCUGGUCAUUUAUGAACAUUUGAACAUCUAGGCCAUGUACUGUUAUAAUCUCCACCCGGCACAGCCAGAGGAGGACUGGCCACCCCUCAUAGCCUGGUUCCUCUCUAGGUUUCUUCCUAGGUUUUGGCCUUUCUAGGGAGUUUUUCCUAGCCACCGUGCUUCUACACCUGCAUUGCUUGCUGUUUGGGGUUUUAGGCUGGGUUUCUGUACACCACUUUGAGAUAUCAGCUGAUGUAAGAAGGGCUAUAUAAAUACAUUUGAUUUGAUUUGAUUACCCUUGUUGUUGAAAAUAUCAAGAACAAAGUCAAUAUUCCUCACAUGCCAGCUGGGGUAGAACAAUGACUUAUUCCCUAUAGUUAUGUCUGAAUUAUUCCACAAAAGAGCUUUAUGUGGGGAAAAAUUGUGCAUUACAAAUACUGUAUAUCAAAGUUAAUGAAGUGCACUUCAAAAUUUUACAUAAGAUAUAUCCAUGUAAUUCUAUGAUAUCCAAAUUUGUGGCAAUUGAUAAUAUCAGCAUUUUCUGUGAAAAAGAAGGUGAGAAUCUGUCUCACUUGUUCUUUGAAUGUAAAUUUGUGUCAGAAUUUUGGGAAAACCUUGCAAAAUACUUAUUUACCAUUAUGAACACUGCCUAUGUUUUUGACAUGAAAGAUAUAAUAUGUUACUAUUGCAAUGAUAACAAGACCACUGAAAUGAUUGUAUUUUUUUUUUUUCUUGUUGCCAAAUAUUCCAAAAUUCUAUACCAAAAUUACACAUUUCUUUGAAUGAAUUUAACUAUUUUAUUAAAACAUUAACCCUAGUGAAUAACAACAA